CUAGCGUUGCUCGGAAUCACUGGGCGUAAAGGGCUCGUAGGCGGCCAACUAAGUCGGAUGUGAAAUCCCCAGGCUCAACUUGGGAACUGCAUCCGAUACUGGAUGGCUUGAAUUCGGGAGAGGGAUGCAGAAUUCCAGGUGUAGCGGUGAAAUGCGUAAAUAUCUGGAGGAAUACCGGUGGCGAAGGCGGCAUCCUGGACCGACAUUGACGCUGAGGAGCGAAAGCUAGGGGAGCAAACGGG
rnacentral:rRNA from 1 species